rnacentral:rRNA from 1 species
GACGAACGCCUGCGGCGUGCCUAAAAAUGCAAGUCGAGCGGUUCAGUGUUCCACUGAGAGGGGAGCGCGGGGCGAGUGUCUUUUCUUCGGGAAAGGGCUUUGUGUCGCGUUGGGAAGAAGGUGCUGGGUUAUGCAGAGAACUCUGUGGAACUCGGCGUCGUUGUUCCUCCCCUUUGAGUGGAACGCUGGAUAGCGGCGAACGGUCGCGUAACACGUAAGCAACCUGCCCCAAAGACCGGGACAACCCUCGAA